rnacentral:rRNA from 1 species
GACAAACGCUGGCGGCGUGCUUAACACAUGCAAGUCGAACGGAAAGGCCCUGCUUUUGUGGGGUGCUCGAGUGGCGAACGGGUGAGUAACACGUGAGUAACCUGCCCUUGACUUUGGGAUAACUUCAGGAAACUGGGGCUAAUACCGGAUAGGAGCUCCUGCUGCAUGGUGGGGGUUGGAAAGUUUCGGCGGUUGGGGAUGGACUCGCGGCUUAUCAGCUUGUUGGUGGGGUAGUGGCUUACCAAGGGUUUGACGGGUAGCCGGCCUGAGAGGGUGACCGGCCACAUUGGGACUGAGAUACGGCCCAGACUCCUACGGGAGGCAGCAGUGGGGAAUAUUGCACAAUGGGCGGAAGCCUGAUGCAGCAACGCCGCGUGCGGGAUGACGGCCUUCGGGUGGUAAACCGCUUUCGCCUGUGACGAAGCGUGAGUGACGGUAAUGGGCAAAGAAGCACCGGCUAACUACGUG